CNNCNCGUGUUAAUCAUGCCAGUCGAGCGGACAGAUGGGAGCUUGCUCCCUGAUGUUAGCGGCGGACGGGUGAGUAACACGUGGGUAACCUGCCUGUAAGACUGGGAUAACUCCGGGAAACCGGGGCUAAUACCGGAUGGUUGUCUGAACCGCAUGGUUCAGACAUAAAAGGUGGCUUCGGCUACCACUUACAGAUGGACCCGCGGCGCAUUAGCUAGUUGGUGAGGUAACGGCUCACCAAGGCGACGAUGCGUAGCCGACCUGAGAGGGUGAUCGGCCACACUGGGACUGAGACACGGCCCAGACUCCUACGGGAGGCAGCAGUAGGGAAUCUUCCGCAAUGGACGAAAGUCUGACGGAGCAACGCCGCGUGAGUGAUGAAGGUUUUCGGAUCGUAAAGCUCUGUUGUUAGGGAAGAACAAGUGCCGUUCAAAUAGGGCGGCACCUUGACGGUACCUAACCAGAAAGCCACGGCUAACUACGUGCCAGCAGCCGCGGUAAUACGUAGGUGGCAAAGCGUUGUCCGGAAUUAUUGGGCGUAAAGGGCUCGCAGGCGGUUUCUUAAGUCUGAUGUGAAAAGCCCCCGGCUUCAACCGGGGAGGGUCAUUGGAAACUGGGGGAACUUUGAGUUGCAGAAGAGGAGAAGUGGAAUUCCACGUGUAGCGGGUGAAAUGCGUAAGAUGUGGAGGAACCCCAU
rnacentral:rRNA from 1 species